UUAAGUUCAGCGGGUAGUCUCACCCGAUUUGAGGUCAAGGUUCGUGGGUCGAGUGGCAAUCACUCGGCCAUUGUCUUCUAAUGAGACGGUUAGAAGCGGGAUGCGGAUGCGAAACCCAAGACGUAGAAACAUUUUAUCACGUCAAGGAUCAGCAAAGCGGACCCCACUAAUUCAUUUGAGAGGAGCUCACACUUUCGAAA
rnacentral:misc_RNA from 1 species